rnacentral:rRNA from 1 species
UACGUAGGGUGCAGGCGUUAAUCGGAAUUACUGGGCGUAAAGCGUGCGCAGGCGGUCUUUUAAGUCAGAUGUGAAAUCCCCGGGCUUAACCUGGGAACUGCGUUUGAAACUGGAAGGCUUGAGUGUGGCAGAGGGGGGUGGAAUUCCACGUGUAGCAGUGAAAUGCGUAGAGAUGUGGAGGAACACCGAUGGCGAAGGCAGCCCCCUGGGCUAGCACUGACGCUCAGGCACGAAAGCGUGGGGAGCAAACAGG